rnacentral:rRNA from 1 species
UGGGGAAUAUUGGACAAUGGGGGGAACCCUGAUCCAGCCAUGCCGCGUGUGUGAAGAAGGCCUUAUGGUUGUAAAGCACUUUAAGCGAGGAGGAGGGUACUGGUAUUAAUACUACCAGGUACUGGACGUUACUCGCAGAAUAAGCACCGGCUAACUCUGUGCCAGCAGCCGCGGUAAUACAGAGGGUGCAAGCGUUAAUCGGAAUUACUGGGCGUAAAGCGCGCGUAGGUGGUUCGUUAAGUUGAAUGUGAAAGCCCCGGGCUCAACCUGGGAACUGCAUCCAAAACUGGCGAGCUAGAGUAGGGCAGAGGGUGGUGGAAUUUCCUGUGUAGCGGUGAAAUGCGUAGAUAUAGGAAGGAACACCAGUGGCGAAGGCGACCACCUGGGAUCAUACUGACACUGAGGUGCGAAAGCGUGGGGAGCAAACAGG